GUGGGGAAUAUUGGACAAUGGGCGAAAGCCUGAUCCAGCCAUGCCGCGUGUGUGAAGAAGGUCUUCGGAUUGUAAAGCACUUUAAGUUGGGAGGAAGGGCAGUAAGUUAAUACCUUGCUGUUUUGACGUUACCGACAGAAUAAGCACCGGCUAACUUCGUGCCAGCAGCCGCGGUAAUACGAAGGGUGCAAGCGUUAAUCGGAAUUACUGGGCGUAAAGCGCGCGUAGGUGGUUCAGCAAGUUGGAGGUGAAAUCCCCGGGCUCAACCUGGGAACUGCCUCCAAAACUACUGGGCUAGAGUACGGUAGAGGGUAGUGGAAUUUCCUGUGUAGCGGUGAAAUGCGUAGAUAUAGGAAGGAACACCAGUGGCGAAGGCGACUACCUGGACUGAUACUGACACUGAGGUGCGAAAGCGUGGGGAGCAAACAGGAUUAGAUACCCCGGUAGUCC
rnacentral:rRNA from 1 species